GCCUUCGUGGUGUAAUGGUCAGCAGGCUCGACACGUAUUCGAGAGGUCCGUGCUUCGAAUCCCGGCGAAUGCG
rnacentral:tRNA from 1 species